rnacentral:lncRNA from 1 species
CUCCCCGCCAGCCCGUGGCCACGACGAGACGCUGCUCGCCUGGUGUACCUGCCGUGCUGUUCCCAUAAGACUGCUGGCUCUCUCUGGUUUCCUUUUCUUCUCCUUUGGGUUUCUUUUUCAUUUUUAUUUUUUUAAUGGCGGUCAUGGCGGUUCGGGGCGGUCUGUGGGGACAGGGAGGUGGGAAGGGGAAAGUUUUAGGUGGACGCCGUCGGAAGUUCAGGGAAAAGUAAUGGCGAGUUUGUCUCCAGGUUGGCUGGUAGCAGUUUGUCCGAGACAGGCAGCUGGCCCUAGAGCCUGGUAGUCGGUGAAAUGUGCCCACGUUAAUCCCUUUGGCAGUAUCUUUUACGAAAUAACCCACUCACGGUGUAUAAAACACAACGGAAAAAUAGCACAGGUAUGACCAAACUGAUUUGUACAUACAGUUAUUUUGAUGACACGUCCUCGGCGUUGACAGGGUAUUACGUUUCCCAAAGCUGUAAGGACAGGUCUCAGGUUUGCUGGACGUAGGAGAGACAGACAGCUCGCAUCUCACAGACAUUUCGGUUCAUGUAGUGGGUACAACAGACAAUGGGAACCCAAAUACACAAAAUGGCAAUGGGUUGAUAUCAUUUGGCAAAGGAAACAAGCGAGGGGAAAGACUAGUAAUCAUCCUUAAUCCCUUGUCAUUAUUAAAAUUAUAGUGUCGCUGGUAAGACGCACAUACCAGAUGCAUCUGAAGGUGUCGGGGAUGAUGGAUUUAGUACAAAGGAGCAGUGUAUGCUGGGUGACAUCGAGAGAACACCUGUUCCCAGCGCUGAAGCAUUCCGAUGGUUCUUUUAAGCAGUAGUGUAUCUUAUUUUCAAGGCAUUCGGAAGUGAAUGGCAAGCUAAAGUCUUGUUUUAAGAAACUGCUUAGUCCACCAUUGAAGAACAUACUCAGAUACUAUUUUCAUUUAUGUAUAGGGGUUUCCUCAAAAGCAAAAAGUCAAAAAUCUGGGAGCCUGGGGAAUUGGCCAGCUUCUUCACAUUCAGUACACCGAUUCUUUCUUUGAUGUAACUUAGCUAUUCUAGUGAAGUUGUUGUCUAUUUUUAAAGUGGC